AGAGAUGUGUGAUGACGCAUAUCAAUAAGCGGAGGAAAAGGAAACUAACAAGGAUUCCCUUAGUAACGGACGAGUGAAGCGGGAAGAGCUCAAAUUUGAAAUCUUCAAGGGUUUCCCUUGACGAAUUGUAGUUUAAAGAAGUGUUUUCUGUUAGAGGGGUGGUAAAAGUUCUUUGGAAUAGGACAUCAUAGAGGGUGAGAAUCCCGUAUUUGGUCAUUCUUUCUAGCUUUGUGAUACACUUUCAACGAGUCGGAUUGUUUGGGAAUGCAGUCCAAAAUGGGUGGUAAAUUUCAUCUAAAGCUAAAUAUUGGCGAGAGACCGAUAGCGAACAAGUACCGUGAGGGAAAGAUGAAAAGAACUUUGAAAAGAGAGUUAAACAGUACGUGAAAUUGUCAAAAGGGAAGCGUUUGACACCAGUGUUGUUUUUUCCGAAAAUCAAUUACGAAUGUUUUAUUUUUGAGAAGUUAUGACUUCAUCGGCUUGCUUCUCUCUUUAUGAAACUUUCUUAAUGCACUUUUCGGUUAACAAGUCAACAUCAAUUUCUUUUGUUGUAAAAGGGUAUGAGGAAGGUGGCUUUCUUUUCGGAGAAAGUGUUUAUAGCCUUGUACCUCUGCAAUCGGAGAGAUUGAGGUCUGCAGCGUAGAUCCUUCGGGGUUAGAUACAUUUGUGCUAAGUUAUAGCUUUUCAUAGACAACUUGUUGACUAUGUUUAGUCUUGUAGCUUACUCGCUUAUGCUAUUUUACCUACGCUUAGGAUGUUGAAGAUGUAGCACAUCAU
rnacentral:rRNA from 1 species